UCUUUUCUUUUCCUCUUCCUUUCUUUUCUCUCCCCCUCUUCUCUAUAGCAGCACGAUCUCCUUCUCCCCUCUCUUCCAUUUUCUUCCUCCUUUCUCUUCGUAUCACACACACGCACUCCCGAAUGAAGAGACACAAGGAGACCGUGUGGAGAGCAGUUUGUGAGAGUGAGAUUUUGAGAUGGAGGGUGUGAUGGGUUUCGGCCAUGGGAAUUUUUGUAAGGCACGUGUCGUGAUUGGAAACUUCAACGUAUUUUCCAAUCUAGAGUUCAAGUAACUAGAACACGGAAGAAUGUUGGAGUCAUGAGUCCAAUGCAGCCAAAAUGCUAUUUCUUUGGCUGCAGGUACUCCGGUCGUAGUUGAUGACAUAGUAGAAGUGUACUUGAGAUAUUAUGACCAAAGCUCGCCGCGACAAUCAUAAUUGCGGGACCAUAGGCGUCCUCUGUUUUAUGGGUUUUUUAUAGCUCAUGACGCCCGUGUCACUUGUUAUUGUAUAAAGUCAUUUAUGUUAUGUAUUUAAUUUGAAGAAAGACUUAAAUAGAUAGAUGUAAUGUUGGCUCUUGUUUAUGUUUAAUUUAUGAUAGAUAUUUAAGUUGUGAUU